rnacentral:rRNA from 1 species
UAACGAAUCUUCCGCAAUGGGCGCAAGCCUGACGGAGCAAUGCCGCGUGUGGGAUGAAGCGUCUCUGACGUGUAAACCACUGUCAGGGGUUAGAAACAAUGAUCAACCCCAAAGGAAGUGGCGACUAACUCUGUGCCAGCAGUCGCGGUAAUACAGAGGCCACAAGCGUUAGUCGGAAUCACUGGGCUUAAAGGGUGCGUAGGCUGGUCCGCAAGCGUCUUGUGAAAGCCCUCGGCUCAACCGAGGAACAGCAGGGCGAACUGCGGAUCUUGAGGCAGGUAGGGGUCGCGAGAACAGUAGGUGGAGCGGUGAAAUGCGUAGAUAUCUACUGGAAUGCCGAUGGUGAAGACGCGCGACUGGGCCUGUCCUGACGCUGAGGCACGAAAGCGUGGGGAGCAAACAGGAUUAGAUACCCGCGUAGUCCCUGAGCGGGCUGGCAAGGCGCAU